rnacentral:pre_miRNA from 1 species
AUCCCUCUGUGUUCGUGCUGAGAUUUCGUCAGAGAUCAACCCAUUGGGUCUGAUGCAACUUCCAAAAUAAGUGAAGCG